rnacentral:rRNA from 1 species
GCGUUGUUCGGAAUUAUUGGGCGUAAAGCGCGUGUAGGCGGUGAUGCAUGUCGGGUGUGAAAGCCCUCAGCUCAACUGAGGAAGUGCGCCCGAAACUGCAUCGCCGGAGUGCCGGAGAGGAAGGCGGAAUUCCCGGUGUAGAGGUGAAAUUCGUAGAUAUCGGGAGGAACACCAGUGGCGAAGGCGGCCUUCUGGACGGACACUGACGCUGAGACGCGAAAGCGUG